rnacentral:tRNA from 1 species
GCGGGCGUGAUGGAAUGGUAGACAUACCGGACUUAAAAUCCGGAAGCCUUGCGCUGUGCGGGUUCGAGUCCCGCCGCCCGCA